AUUGAACGCUAGCGGGAUGCUUUACACAUGCAAGUCGAACGAGUGGCGGACGGGUGAGUAAUAUAUCGGAACGUGCCCAGUAGCGGGGGAUAACUACGAAAAAGAGUGGCUAAUACCGCAUACUAUGGGAGCGGCCGAUGUCGGAUUAGCUAGUUGGUGGGGUAAAGGCUCACCAAGGCGACGAUCCCUAGCUGGUUUGAGAGGACGACCAGCCACACUGGGACUGAGACACGGUCCAGACUCCUACGGGAGGCAGCAGUGGGGAAUUUUGGACAAUGGGCGCAACCCUGAUCCAGCCAUGCCGCGUGUAUGAGAAGGCCUUCGGGUUGUAAAGUACUUUUGGCAGGGAGGCGUUAUCUGCAGAAUAAGCACCGGCUAACUACGUGCCAGCAGCCGCGGUAAUUC
rnacentral:rRNA from 1 species